rnacentral:lncRNA from 1 species
GUCUGCCUCCACGUAAGACAUGCCUUUCUCCUCCUUCACCUUCUGCCAUGAUUAUGAGGCCUCCCCAGCCAUGUGAAACUGGUGAGCCAGCUUCGGGAUUGCAACUGAGAAGUGGGACUAUUAAAAGAAAGUCAUGCCCAGGUGGCUCACCAAGCUGGAGAAGGGACAAGAGACCUCUGGAGCUUCGCCUUUAUAGCUGAUUGCUUUUUGAAUCCCAGCCAUCCCAGCCUCCACAGUCUGAAGCAGAAACAUCUCAUCCAAACUGCAUUUGUGUGAGCAAGAAAUAAAUGCAGACAGUUAUAUGCCAAGGAGAUUUUAUAGUUGCUUGUUAUGUAAUAACAAUGACUAAUAGAGAAAUGAUUGAAGAGUACUGAAUCACAACAUUACUAGCUCAACCUGCUCCCCAGAAAAUUGCUAAUAAAGACAAUAAUAACAAGAAUUCCCUCUUAUUAAUGCCUAUCAAAUGCCAGCAAUAACUAGAUGCUUUGCACAUUGUAAUCUCAUUUUAUCCUAGGAAGACAACAACUCUGUGAAGUUGGUGAUCUUAUCCCUAUUUCAUUCCCAGGAAAUUAGGAUUCAGAAAUGGCUUAUAGAUUUUCAGAGAUCACAAAGUUAAGAAGUAUCAAUUCCAAGCUUACAAACC